UGUGGGAGCGGGCUUGCUCGCGAAAGCGGUGGGUCAGUCAAUUAAAUAUCGACUGAUACUCUGCCUUCGCGAGCAAGCCCGCUCCCACA
rnacentral:misc_RNA from 1 species